rnacentral:misc_RNA from 1 species
AACUGCGAUAAGUAGUGUGAAUUGCAUUUAGUGAAUCAUCGAAUCUUUGAACGCACCCUGCACUCACUGGUAUUCCGGUGAGUACGCCUGUUUCAGUAUCAUUGAAAACACACAAUCAAAACAUUUUCUUUGGUUUGAUUGGCUUUGGGUCUAUCAAAAAGUUUGGCUUGUUUCUUACAAGCCAAGCGGCCUGAAAUAUGUUGUCUGGCUAAUUGCAUCGUUGAUGAUCGCUAUUAGACUUUGGCUUUUUUAAAUGAACUGGAGGUUGAUUAACCAGUUUUAGCUUUAGUCAAAUGGUCAUUGUAAAAAAAAUCUCGAUCUUGGCUAGGUGUUUAUAGCCGAAAAUUUUUUUUUGGCUAUAACCGAAACCAAUAUAAUCACAUUUAGUUAUCGAUCUGAAAUCAGGUGGGACUACCCGCUGAACUUAAGC